rnacentral:rRNA from 1 species
AACGAACGCUGGCGGCAGGCCUAACACAUGCAAGUCGAGCGCCCCGCAAGGGGCGCGGCGGACGGGUGCGUAACGCGUGGGAAUAUGCCCUUUGCUACGGAAUAGUCUCGGGAAACUGGGGGUAAUACCGUAUACGCCCUUUGGGGGAAAGAUUUAUCGGCGAAGGAUUAGCCCGCGUUGGAUUAGGUAGUUGGUGGGGUAAUGGCCUACCAAGCCGACGAUCCAUAGCUGGUUUGAGAGGAUGAUCAGCCACACUGGGACUGAGACACGGCCCAGACUCCUACGGGAGGCAGCAGUGGGGAAUCUUAGACAAUGGGGGCAACCCUGAUCUAGCCAUGCCGCGUGAGUGAUGAAGGCCUUAGGGUUGUAAAGCUCUUUCAGCUGGGAAGAUAAUGACGGUACCAGCAGAAGAAGCCCCGGCUAACUCCGUG